rnacentral:rRNA from 1 species
GACUGAGACACGGCCCAGACUCCUACGGGAGGCAGCAGUGGGGAAUAUUGCACAAUGGGCGCAAGCCUGAUGCAGCGACGCCGCGUGAGGGAUGACGGCCUUCGGGUUGUAAACCUCUUUCAGUACCGACGAAGCGCAAGUGACGGUAGGUACAGAAGAAGCACCGGCCAACUACGUGCCAGCAGCCGCGGUAAUACGUAGGGUGCGAGCGUUGUCCGGAAUUACUGGGCGUAAAGAGCUCGUAGGCGGUUUGUCGCGUCGUCUGUGAAAACCCGCAGCUCAACUGCGGGCUUGCAGGCGAUACGGGCAGACUUGAGUACUGCAGGGGAGACUGGAAUUCCUGGUGUAGCGGUGAAAUGCGCAGAUAUCAGGAGGAACACCGGUGGCGAAGGCGGGUCUCUGGGCAGUAACUGACGCUGAGGAGCGAAAGCGUGGGUAGCGAACAGGAUUAGAUACCCUGGUAGUCCACGCCGUAAACGGUGGGCGCUAGGUGUGGGUUUCCUUCCACGGGAUCCGUGCCGUAGCUAACGCAUUAAGCGCCCCGCCUGGGGAGUACGGCCGCAAG